UCGUAACAAGGUCUCCGUUGGUGAACCAGCGGAGGGAUCAUUACCGAGUUUACAACUCCCAAACCCCUGUGAACAUACCUUAAUGUUGCCUCGGCGGAUCAGCCCGCGCCCCGUAAAACGGGACGGCCCGCCAGAGGACCCAAACUCUAAUGUUUCUUAUUGUAACUUCUGAGUAAAACAAACAAAUAAAUCAAAACUUUCAACAACGGAUCUCUUGGUUCUGGCAUCGAUGAAGAACGCAGCAAAAUGCGAUAAGUAAUGUGAAUUGCAGAAUUCAGUGAAUCAUCGAAUCUUUGAACGCACAUUGCGCCCGCUGGUAUUCCGGCGGGCAUGCCUGUUCGAGCGUCAUUUCAACCCUCAAGCCCCCGGGUUUGGUGUUGGGGAUCGGCUCUGCCUUCUGGCGGUGCCGCCCCCGAAAUACAUUGGCGGUCUCGCUGCAGCCUCCAUUGCGUAGUAGCUAACACCUCGCAACUGGAACGCGGCGCGGCCAUGCCGUAAAACCCCAACUUCUGAAUGUUGACCUCGGAUCAGGUAGGAAUACCCGCUGAACUUAAGCAUAUCA
rnacentral:misc_RNA from 2 species